GAUGAACGCUGGCGGCGUGCCUAAUACAUGCAAGUCGAGCGAACAGACGAGGAGCUUGCUCCUCUGACGUUAGCGGCGGACGGGUGAGUAACACGUGGAUAACCUACCUAUAAGACUGGGAUAACUUCGGGAAACCGGAGCUAAUACCGGAUAAUAUAUUGAACCGCAUGGUUCAAUAGUGAAUGACGGUUUUGCUGUCACUUAUAGAUGGAUCCGCGUCGCAUUAGCUAGUUGGUAAGGUAACGGCUUACCAAGGCAACGAUGCGUAGCCGACCUGAGAGGGUGAUCGGCCACACUGGAACUGAGACACGGUCCAGACUCCUACGGGAGGCAGCAGUAGGGAAUAUUGCGCAAUGGGCGAAAGCCUGACGGAGCCACGCCGCGUGAGUGAUGAAGGUCUUCGGAUCGUAAAGCUCUGUUAUUAGGGAAGAACAAAUGUGUAAGUAACUCUGGACGUCUUGACGGUACCUAAACAGAAAGCAACGGCUAACUUCGUG
rnacentral:rRNA from 1 species